UCUAGCCCCGCCUACACCCGCCUACAAGCACAACAACCAUCAACGAUGUCAGGCAUGUUGCUCCAUUGCCCACGUGGAUGCAGGACGGCAUUUGUUCUUCGCCUCGCUACAUUGUACAGGAGUGAGAGGACCCGUGGUGCAACAUACAUAAGUCUGAAUAGGCCAUAUGACCGGGUUGCGCACACCAUGGGCAUGACGGUGAGAGGAGUGAGGCAGAUGGUCCACCGCGCCAACACAUCUUCCCUUUCCAAACCGGCAACACCAAUUACACCGACCGUCUUUGACGAUCAUAAUACUUUCAUUUCAUAAAAAUAAUACAAUGUAUAACAUACAGUAACUUCAUAAUAUCCCACAGCAUAUUUUGUAUAUUUAUUGCCUCAAAUGUACUUGAUAAAGAAAGCUACAACGCCAUUAUUACCAUUAGGCAUCAAUAAACAAAGAUGCAGUGAUGCAGAGAAGAACAA